rnacentral:lncRNA from 1 species
UCUUCUCUUGUCACUAUACCCCCAUCGGCAAUCCCUCUUUAUCCAUCUUCUUUGUCUCUCUCUCACUCUUUCCCCCAUCUUUCUCUCUUUUUCCUUUCUUGCUCCUAUUUUCACUCCCUUAUCCUCUCUUUCUCAUGCCGUAUUUGCCCGGAUCCAAAUAGGGAAGCACUUCAGUGGCAUUUUCUAGUAUCUGUCACUUUUUACGGCCCAAGAGUCUGCCGUUUAUUGAGUAUUUCAGGUACCUAUCUACGAGAGACUCGGAGAAGCUGAGCAUGAGGCAAACGUGCAGGCGGAUGUUUGAUUUGCAACGGAUGGCAGUAAAAGUGGUAGCGGUGUGUGUAAGGUCGGAAUUGAUUUAUUGGGUGUAACAGAGUAGCCCCAAUAUUGGUUGGUGUUCGGAAAAAGGCCGGUGGGAGUUGGAAGGAAGAACCUCAGUCUCUGCGACCUUGAGUGCCCACUAAGUUGAAUUUUCAUGUUCUAUUCUCAGAAGUUGGUACUUCCCACUUUCCUAUUUCUCUUCUUUGUGUUAGUUAAAUUGUUCUUAUUUUAGUUCGCAUUAGUUAAUCUUACUGUUAGUGUGCCUGUAGUAACAACUUGUUUUAUUCUAGUUUGGUCUGUUGCUUUUUUUCUUAGCAGUUUCCCUUAGUCUGUUGUAGGUAUAGUGGUUAUGGUUUAGGAUAGUAAAGUAAGGUCAAGUCCUCGGGGUGGGCGGGAGUGGGUGGGGAAAGGGACAAGGGGUGGGACAGGAGGCAAUGAGGGUAAAGGGAGCCUAUAGGUAGAGAACAUAGACCGGUCCAACAUAAUAUAUUGGAGUUCGAUGCACCUAUGUAUGAACUUCCCGCAUAUUAUACUGGACCGGUAUACAUUGCUGGCUCUAGUAUAAUAUGCUGGAGACUGAAGCACCGGUGCUCCAAAAUCCAGUAUAUUAUGCUGGACCAGUAUAUUAUACUGAAACUCUAUUAUAUUAGAUUGGGGUUCUAGUAUAUUAUGCUGGAGUAUUUUUUCGGAUUUUGAAUAGUGCUUUCGUUCAGAUUUAUCUUUACAUAAAAAAAUAACUAAAUUUCGAUUACUUUUAAACUGUGACUAUUUUUGAAUGACCACUUGUAAAUCGUGCUAUUUUUAAAUUUCUCUCUCAAUGUGCAGAGCACUGGUCAUAUAUGUUUUGAACUUUACGACUUAAAUUGUCUGUUUUAUACGUUUCAGGAAUGUUCUUACGCACCUUCCGCCUGCUACUCCACCCUUUGCGUUUCAAAAGCUUUUAUGUUUAAAAUUUAUUUAAGUAUCUGACCAUAACCUAUAUGAUAUGUUUUAUAAUUAAGAAGUUCAUGACAUAAAUAUUAUCAUGUAAAUAUAUAUAGUAUUACAAAUGGAUAGUUACGUCGAUUUUUCUUCACGUUCUUUUCUUUGAAUCCUAAACUUUGAUUACAUUUUUCUGUAUUUCUUAUAUUUAAUCUAUUUUAUGUGCCUAUAUUAGUCUAUUAUCAAAAAAAAUCUUGGAACUUACACCUCGUGUCUUGGGGUUAACAUUUUGUCGCAUGAUGCGAUUUGGACAAAUUUGCUUGAAGUUGAUUAAAAGGGUUUUUGGUAUUUAAAUUUUGUGAGUAGAAAUUAUUAUUUCACUUGAACUAGUUUUCACAUAAGCUUUUCAACUUCAAAAUUUUAAGUUUAAAUUAAAAUAAUAAAAACAAAAAUUAUACAAUAAUAUUUCAAUAUUUGGGAAUAAUGUUUGGUUUGAAGUUAUAUCACAAUGCCAAAUUCGUCUUUUCCACAUGAUGUUCUACGAUUGAGGUAUUACUUUAAACAUUUAAAAUCUUCACCCAAACUCAUCACAGUGACAGAAUUGGGAGCCAGCAAUUUUCCCUUGCAGUUUGGCACGUGGAAUAUGUCUUGGCAAAAUGGAAGAAAUAUCGUAAUCUCCUUUAAUUCGAGCACGCAAACUAUAGUUUUGUUUAAUUCAUCACAAAAUUCAGUUUUUAGAUGUAGCAUUUUUUAUUUUUUUCUUAAAUGUAGGAAUUAGAAGAGGAAAGUAUGAUAGCAGAGGUUCUAAACAAUUUUAAAAGUGCAAUAUCAUUUUUAUAGGAUAAUUCUGAAUUUUGAUAGGUCAUCAAAGCUUAUAUUUUGGUAGUUGAUAUAUUAAAUUUUAGGGAUAAACAUUGCAUUUAUUCAAACUAAAAGAAAAUUAUUACUUAGGAAUAACAUUAAAAAAGCAAAUAGUUUAAGAACCUUUGGGACGGUUAACUCUAAGCGGAGUUCUUCAGGAAAAAAAAUGGAGUGUAAUUUAAAAAGAAAUAUCACUUGUUGUAGAUGUCGAUGCUUUUCUAAACGUCUGGAGGGGAGGGGAUAGAGAAACAUAAAUUAUAUUAAUGAUGUUUAAAAUAAUAAAGGUGAAAAAACAUCUAAGAAUGAUACAUAUUUAAAUCAUGAAUAUGAUCUUAGAGAUGGAAAUUAGCACAAAACGAAUUACUAUAAGUAGGGUGAAACAGACUUACUUUGCCAAUGAAUAUCACUGUUGGAAACUUGUAAAUAUAUUUCAUUCUCAUUAUAAGAAAUCAAGAUUUGUCUCCAUGCACUGCUCAUAAUAACUAAAAUUUGAACUCUUUUGUAAUGAGGCUAGGAUAUAUUACACAAAGCAUACAUUACGUUAACAGAAGCAAUUCCUUAAAACUGGUAUACAAUACAACCUUUCUCUGCUGAUCGAGCAGUAACUAAACUUUUUAAGUUGUUAGUUGAAGACCUGGUGGAACUGGAACUUCAUUAGAAUGUCCAGAGAUGCAGAGAUUGCCAUGAUUAUCCUGUUCCCAAUAAACCUCAACCAUAAGCCCUCGAGGGUUCUCCGAGGAUGUUGUCCCAGGGAUCUCUACAUACUUCGAUCCUUAGGGUACCUUCAUUGCAUUGUAAGGCCAAUUAGUGACUUUGUUUUGGAAAAUUUCAUCUUUUCUCAGGAUGCUGUUUAGCCAGUUAACGAUAUAAUCUUCAUCCGAAUUGAAGCACUUACCUGGAGAGUGGUUCCGGAUGCUAAUGUCAGUGUCUUGAUGCUUCCUUCAGAUUUGGCUUCCUCUAGCUCUGCCUUCUUUGCAAUGUUCAUAAACACUUCUUCUAGCGUUGUAAGACCUAUCUUGAUAUUUAGUAUGCCUAAUUCCGUUUUCCUGUUUUCUAG